AAUCGGUGAGCCCCACAUAUUCCAGCGUUUGGUUCGCUGUAAUGCCCAUUACGCGCCGAAUCGGUUACGUACGUAUUCCUCCUUAUUCACCGAUUUCUAUUCCCUGCCCUUUGUUCAGUUUAGCUCCCGUUUAGCAUUCUCCCAAUUCCUAUGCCCUGUUUUACCCUCAUCUUCCCAAGCCGAAAUCCACCUCCAGAACUCUCCCUCCCAACAUCAAACAGAAUCUGCCAAGUAAAUGACCUCCACCGCUCCCGUUUCACUUUCAUUUGAUUGUUUUGUCGAACCAAACGCACCCUUCUGUUCUUCAAAUGCAGUGAGUAGGGAAGUCCAAAAACAGACUUCUGUUCUUCAAAUCCCAACAAGUAUCUCCAAAGAAACCCUCAAGAAAACCUUUCCAAUUCAAGCAAGGUAAACAUUAUCUGCCCUAAC
rnacentral:lncRNA from 1 species